GACAACGCUGGCGGCGUGCCUAACACAUGCAAGUCGAACGGGGCAAUUUCUUCGGAGAUUGCUUAGUGGCGAACGGGUGAGUAACGCGUGAGAAACCUGCCUUUCAGUGGGGGACAACAGUUGGAAACGACUGCUAAUACCGCAUAAUGUUAUUUGGGGGCAUCCCUGAAUAACCAAAGCUUUAUGUGCUGAAAGAUGGUCUCGCGUCUGAUUAGCUAGUUGGUGAGGUAACGGCUCACCAAGGCGACGAUCAGUAGCCGGUCUGAGAGGAUGAACGGCCACAUUGGGACUGAGAUACGGCCCAGACUCCUACGGGAGGCAGCAGUGGGGAAUAUUGGGCAAUGGGGGAAACCCUGACCCAGCAACGCCGCGUGAAGGAAGAAGGCCUUCGGGUUGUAAACUUCUUUUAGCAGGGACGAAGAACGUGACGGUACCUGCAGAAAAAGCAACGGCUAACUACGUG
rnacentral:rRNA from 1 species